rnacentral:rRNA from 1 species
CACGUAGGGUGCGGAGCGUUGUCCGGAAUUAUUGGGCGUAAAGAGCUCGUAGGCGGUGUGUCGCGUCGGCCGUGAAAACCUGCAGCUUAACUGUGGGCGUGCGGUCGAUACGGGCAUCACUGGAGUUCGGCAGGGGAGACUGGAAUUCCUGGUGUAGCGGUGAAAUGCGCAGAUAUCAGGAGGAACACCGGUGGCGAAGGCGGGUCUCUGGGGCCGAUACUGACGCUGAGGAGCGAAAGCGUGGGGAGCGAACAGG